GUAAGGAAUCUUUCGCAAUGGGGGCAACCCUGACGAAGCAACACCGCGUGGAGGAUGAAGGCGUUUUCGUUGUAAACUCCUUUUCUGAGGGAAUAACUCUGAAGGUACCUCAGGAAUAAGCAUCGGCUAACUACGUGCCAGCAGCCGCGGUAAGACGUAGGAUGCAAGCGUUAUCCGGAAUUAUUGGGCGUAAAGCGUUCGUAGGUGGUUUGUUAAGUUGGAUGUCAAAGCCCAGAGCUCAACUCUGGACAGGUGUCCAAAACUGGCAAGCUAGAGACAGGUAGAGGCAGGUAGAAUUCUGUAUGUAGGGGUAAUAUCCGUAGAUAUACAGAGGAAUACCAAAAGCGAAGGCAGCCUGCUGGACCUGUUCUGACACUCAAGAACGAAAGCGUGGGGAGCAAACGGGAUUAGAAACCCCGGUAGUCC
rnacentral:rRNA from 1 species